GAAACGGAUGCUAAUACCGCAUACGCCCUACGGGGGAAAGCGGAGGACCUUUCGGGGCUUCGCGCUAAUGGACGAGCCUAAGUCGGAUUAGCUUGUUGGUGAGGUAAAGGCUCACCAAGGCGACGAUCCGUAGCUGGUCUGAGAGGACGAUCAGCCACACUGGGACUGAGACACGGCCCAGACUCCUACGGGAGGCAGCAGUGGGGAAUAUUGGACAAUGGGCGCAAGCCUGAUCCAGCAAUGCCGCGUGUGUGAAGAAGGCCUGCGGGUUGUAAAGCACUUUCAGUAGAGAAGAAAAGCCUACGGUUAAUACCCGUGGGUCUUGACGUUACCUACAGAAGAAGCUCCGGCUAACUCCGUGCCAGCAGCCGCGGUAAUACGGAGGGAGCGAGCGUUAAUCGGAAUUACUGGGCGUAAAGCGCGCGUAGGCGGCUUUGUAAGUCGGAUGUGAAAGCCCUGGGCUUAACCUGGGAAUGGCAUUCGAUACUGCAGAGCUAGAGUAUGGUAGAGGGAAGUGGAAUUUCCGGUGUAGCGGUGAAAUGCGUAGAUAUCGGAAGGAACACCAGUG
rnacentral:rRNA from 1 species